UGAUUCAUCUCUGAAAGACGA
rnacentral:misc_RNA from 1 species